GGGACAGUAGGUUGGUCGUGCCACCGGUACGUACUGGUCUCACUGAUUCCUCCUUCCUGAAGAACCGUAAUGCCAUUAAUUUGGUGUUGCGGGAAAACAGGACUGUUACUUUGAAAAAAUUAGAGUGUUUAAAGCAAGCUAACGCUUGAAUACAUUAGCAUGGAAUAAUGAAAUAGGACGAUCGAUCCUAUUUUGUUGGUUUCUAGGAUUGACGUA
rnacentral:rRNA from 1 species